rnacentral:rRNA from 1 species
CCUGGCUCAGAUUGAACGCUGGCGGCAUGCCUUACACAUGCAAGUCGAACGGUAACAGGUCUUCGGAUGCUGACGAGUGGCGAACGGGUGAGUAAUACAUCGGAACGUGCCCGAUCGUGGGGGAUAACGCAGCGAAAGCUGUGCUAAUACCGCAUACGAUCUACGGAUGAAAGCGGGGGAUCGCAAGACCUCGCGCGGACGGAGCGGCCGAUGGCAGAUUAGGUAGUUGGUGGGGUAAAGGCUCACCAAGCCUGCGAUCUGUAGCUGGUCUGAGAGGACGACCAGCCACACUGGGACUGAGACACGGCCCAGACUCCUACGGGAGGCAGCAGUGGGGAAUUUUGGACAAUGGGCGCAAGCCUGAUCCAGCCAUGCCGCGUGCAGGAUGAAGGCCUUCGGGUUGUAAACUGCUUUUGUACGGAACGAAAAGACUUGUCUUAAUACGAUGGGUCCAUGACGGUACCGUAAGAAUAAGCACCGGCUAACUACGUG